CAGAAGUUUCCAGGUAAGGAAUCAAACCCUUGCCAUAGCAGUGACCAAGCCACAGCAGUGACAGGGCUGGAUCAGUAACUGCAGAGCUACCAGGGUACUCCUUGCUAUUUUAUUAAAAAUUGGAUUUUGUUGGUCCAUCAGUGACUUAUUAAUCAAAACAAUAUGUUCAAAAUACAUUGGAGUUCUCUUGUGGCACAGGGUUUAAGAAUUUGGCAUUGUCACUGCAGCAGCUAAGGUCGCUGCUGUGACAUGGUUCAAUCCCAGGCUCAGGAACUUCCAUGUGCUGUGGACACAGCUAAAAAAGGGGGAAAAACUAUUACUGGUGAAAUUAAAAAUAGUCAAAAUAUAACUGUAAUGUAUACAUGUAAGGAUAACCUGACCGCCUUGCUGUACAGUGGGAAAAUAAAAAAAAUUAUUGAAAAAAAAAUAGUCAAAAUAUAAUCCAGCAAACUAUGACAUGUAGUAUUAGAGGUAACAUUAGAGGUUCGAUUCUUUACUUGGUCCCUUAUUUAGCUACUGGUUUCAUAGUUCUGACUUCCUAAUCUUUCUCCCCCAGAAUGCCAUUGUCUGUCUUCAAUGAAUUUUGCAUACAAAAGGAAGUGUAAGCACUUAAAAGAAUUACACAAAGCAAUAGGAUACCUGUGAGGUUACAGAAAAUUUGAGCUACACUUGCCACUUACUUAUGAAUGCUUGAUUAAUAAAUGCCUUUUGUGUCCCUGAAUUUUGCCUGAAACCUGUUUUUAUUUUUAUCUGGUAGCAAGUUUGUGAGAGAGUAGCCAAACUCAGCACUUCCUACAUACUAUUAUCAUUUACAUUAUUCCCCAAAAAUGACCUGAGUCAUGCAUGCCUGAAUUGCCUUAGGCUCAUUUUGCAACAUGUACUCUGCUACCCAGGCCAAAUACAGAGGAUAUCAAAUGAGAUACUAUUCCUAUCCUUCCAGAACAGUCUACUGAUUCAGAAUUGAUUUACAAGGAGUUCCCGCCUCAGUGGUUAAUGAAUCCAACUAGCAACCAUGAGGAUGCAGGUUCUAUCCCUGGCCUUACUAAGUAGGUUAAGGAUUCGGCAUUGCCAUGAGCUAUCAUGUAGGUCACAGAUGUGACUCAGAUCCUGAGUUGCUGUGGUUUAGGUCAGCGGCUACAGCUCCAAUUUGACCCCUAGCCUGGGAACCUCCACGUGCCGUGUGUGUGGCCCUGAAAAAAAGACAAAACAACAACAAAAAUUGAUUUAUAAGAAUAUAGUCACAUCCCAUUUCUAGGAGUAAGUGUAUUACAUUUUUCAUGUAAUAAUUCCCCUUUCACUCUACUAAUUCAUUACAAGAUGCUGGUAUUAAGUUCUGGCCAAUUCUUUAUCGGAUGUCCACAAACUACAGUCUGCAGGCCAGAUCUGGGCAGCCACCUGCUUUUGUACAGCCCCAAAGCUAAAACAGUUUUGAUGUAUUAAGACAGGAAAAAUGAAAAGAAUAUUCAUGGCAUAUAAAAGUUUUCUGUAAUUCAGAUUUCAGUGUCCAUAAAUAAAGGUUUAUUGGAACA
rnacentral:lncRNA from 1 species